UUGAGGAGAAUUUCUACAUACAAGCAUUUUGAAAAGCCCCCCAAAUUGAAAAUCCUACGAACCCACGGCCACACGCAUAAAACUUUGCUCUUCAAUUGCGACCUUUCUCUCUCACUCCAGUCUCUAUCCCCAACGACCCAUAAAAUCCAACUGCCCAUUUGCAAGAAUCAUAAGAUUAAUCAAUAGUCACAACUUCAACCAUUGAUCUUCUCUGUUUGCCAAUGUGGUGGGUUUGUUAUUGUUCUUCGAGAAGUCAGAGGCAUGUAUUAUCUCCCCUUCAAAUAUUUGAGUUGAAGAAAUGCCAAAUUUAAAGGAGAUUUUGCUUUUGCAUGUCAAUUCCCAAUUAUUAAGACUAUGAAUUCUGGAGCAAAGCAAAUGAGGAUGGCUUCAAUUAACGAUAUACAUCUUAACACAACUUUUAGGAAUGGCUUUUCCAAUUAGGGCACUCUUGUGCUACAUUUCGAAACAAUUGAGCUUUGCUUGAAGCUUCAAGAAAAGUUAAUUUUAAAGAUUUCUUAAGACAAGGCUUGCAUCUGGAAGGAAACAAAGGUCUCUUCUCACAAAAGCAUGCAAGAGGAAGUCCUCCCUGCACAGUAGUUCAAGAUUAUUAACUAAAGGACUAACUUGAAGAAUUUGGAUCCUUUUCCGUUUUUGAUGUUGGACGAAUUUGGAUCCUUUUUCAUUUCGGAUGUUGGACGAUUUUUCAGAAAGAGUUGGAGAGAGAGAUCUACGGGAGGCCCUUCACUAUUGUCAGACCGGUCCCCUUUGAUAUUGAUGAAGAGAUUGUUGCAUUAAUUGCAAAUCUGACAUAACCGGAUGAAGCAUGGAGCCAAAUGUUUUGUCUAUGAGAUUGUUCUGGAUGACUUUGGCUUAGACAAUUGUGAUGCUGUUGUUGAGACUUUCAUUCCCGAAGCCAAUCCCAUUGCCAAUGCAUCAUUUUCUGAGGUUAAAACCGCUACGAACAACAACAUAAAGCUGCAAUAGAUGGUACCAUGGCUGCUGCUAAUAACUUUGGGCCAUUUUUAGUCUAUUUCUCUCUUGUGGCUUUAAAGUAAAGAAGAGAGUGAUUGUAAGCCAAUGCCCGGAAGAUGGUGAUGUUGGAAUGGACUACGACAUUGCUUCAACUUUUUCCUUUGCCUCCUUUCUUGCUUUCCCCCUUCUUUUUUUUUUAUUUGAUUGUCUUGUAUUGAACCCUAAGCUUUGAAAUUUCGAACUAGUUGAAGUGUGUAAUAUGGGUUGCUAUCUUGGAAACAUUUUCUCUUGUAUUUCACCCUUGUGGGCAGCCCACUUAUGUAUAGAGCAGCUUCUGUCUAGUUAUAUUGGUGCCGCUUUGAGUUUGUACUAUCAUAGUUAGUAGACACAAUUUGUAUUUUGUACAAAGAAACACAUAUACGAUGUCUCAACAUGUAAUUUGAAUUUUGGAAUGAAAAGAAUGAUUUGUACCUCAAGGAUGUGAAUAGUUUGUAUUUUAUA